rnacentral:rRNA from 1 species
CUAAUACAUGCAAGUCGAGCGAGCGGAACCAACAGAUUUACUUCGGUAAUGACGUUGGGAAAGCGAGCGGCGGAUGGGUGAGUAACACGUGGGGAACCUGCCCCUAAGUCUGGGAUACCAUUUGGAAACAGGUGCUAAUACCGGAUAAUAAAGCAGAUCGCAUGAUCAGCUUUUGAAAGGCGGCGUAAGCUGUCGCUAAGGGAUGGCCCCGCGGUGCAUUAGCUAGUUGGUAAGGUAACGGCUUACCAAGGCGACGAUGCAUAGCCGAGUUGAGAGACUGAUCGGCCACAUUGGGACUGAGACACGGCCCAAACUCCUACGGGAGGCAGCAGUAGGGAAUCUUCCACAAUGGACGCAAGUCUGAUGGAGCAACGCCGCGUGAGUGAAGAAGGUUUUCGGAUCGUAAAGCUCUGUUGUUGGUGAAGAAGGAUAGAGGUAGUAACUGGCCUUUAUUUGACGGUAAUCAACCAGAAAGUCACGGCUAACUACGUGCCAGCAGCCGCGGUAAUACGUAGGUGGCAAGCGUUGUCCGGAUUUAUUGGGCGUAAAGCGAGCGCAGGCGGAAAAAUAAGUCUAAUGUGAAAGCCCUCGGCUUAACCGAGGAACUGCAUCG